GACGAACGCUGGCGGCGUGCCUAAUACAUGCAAGUUGAGCGCUGAAGGUUGGUACUUGUACCAACUGGAUGAGCAGCGAACGGGUGAGUGACGCGUGGGGAAUCUGCCUUUGAGCGGGGGACAACAUUUGGAAGCGAAUGCUAAUACCGCAUAAAAACUUUAAACACAAGUUUUAAGUUUGAAAGAUGCAGUUGCAUCACUCAAAGAUGAUCCCGCGUUGUAUUAGCUAGUUGGUGAGGUAAAGGCUCACCAAGGCGAUGAUACAUAGCCGACCUGAGAGGGUGAUCGGCCACAUUGGGACUGAGACACGGCCCAAACUCCUACGGGAGGCAGCAGUAGGGAAUCUUCGGCAAUGGACGAAAGUCUGACCGAGCAACGCCGCGUGAGUGAAGAAGGUUUUCGGAUCGUAAAACUCUGUUGGUAGAGAAGAACGUUGGUGAGAGUGGAAAGCUCAUCAAGUGACGGUAACUACCCAGAAAGGGACGGCUAACUACGUG
rnacentral:rRNA from 1 species